CAUGGGGAGCAAACAGGAUUUGGUACCCUGGUAGUCCAUGCUAUAAACAAUGAAUAUUAAAUAUUAGAUCUUUAAAUCUAAUAUAAAUAGUUAACACGUUAAAUAUUUCGCCUGGGGAGUAAAACCGCAAGGUUGAAACUCAAAGGAAUUGACGGGAGCUUAUACUUACGGUGGAGCAUGUGGUUUAAUCCGAUAGUCCGCGUGGAAUCUUACCAAUUUUUGACAUUUAUUAAUUUUAAUAAAAUAAAACAGGUGUUGCAUGGCCGUUGUCAGCUUAUGUUUUGAAAUUUAAAUAUAGGUUUAACCCUUAGUUUAAUUUACUAAUAUUUGGAAAUGUUUAAAUUACCAAAUAAGUACUAUUAAAAAAAUAUAUUUUUUAUUAUAUUUAAAAGGAUGAAAAUAGGUCGUUAUGACCCUUAUAAAUU
rnacentral:rRNA from 2 species